rnacentral:tRNA from 1 species
GGCGUCGUGGCCAAGUGGUAAGGCAGAGGUCUGCAAAACCUUCACCAGCGGUUCGAAUCCGCUCGACGCCU